CUCAAACCCUAAAAUUUCCAUCAGAACAAAGUGUUUAUGCUCCAUGAUUGCUGGAUAUCCAGCACUGAUAGGCACAUGAUUCUAGAUCAGCGAGUUCUCAACAAACAACAUCAGGAAAAGGCCAGCCUCGCUUUCUGGGCAGAAAGGGCUCUUUCCCAUGCACAUGCGUGUCUUAGCAAGGACCCAUGUCAUUCAGAGCAUGCAGUGCCUCGAGUCCUACUCUCAGCCCUCCGCACAGAUUGUUCCAGCUCAUUUGAGUUUGUCUCCAUGGUGACAAAAGAAAUCAUCUCACUAGGAAAACAGUGAACUUGGCAGAUACACAGCUUUGCCGCCUCCUUUGGUGUCAUAGAUAUGUUUAUGGCAUCAUUAAUAAAUGAAUCUGUCCAUGACCUAAGAGGGCACAGUGCUAAGGCAGAGAAUUCCCUUGGUCUUAAGACUCUUAAAAACGCUAUUUUCUGCACGUUAAACUGAAUUCGUCCCGAGGAUGCUUCCAUACUCGAGUCCUUACAUAACACAUUGCAAUCUAACUUAGUGAGUGAACCAACGAACGUCUAACUUGGGGAUUUGUAGCAGAGUACGCACCAAUCACAGCAGGGAGCUCCAACCUAUCACAGACAUGCACUGAUUCACACAGAGAGCCCUAAGCUGCACCCGCUCAUCCACCUGAGCUCACUUCCUCUUCCCGGUCCGGAAGUGCUUCGUGAACACCCGCAGGCUGGAGCUCUCGGACCUGCUCUGGUUUGGAGGGCCGCCCAUUCUCCAAAUCACUCUUUGCUCAAAGAAAUUCUGCUAAGUAUCAUCGAUGGAAAAGUUCCGGCAGUUGCUUCUCUAGAAUAAGAGGCACACUUGCAGGAAAAGAGAGCAACUGCCUACCUGGCUCCAGACCCACCCUCUGAGUUCUUCACCCGCGAUUUCCAAACCUCCCGCAUAUCCACGUCGCUUCCUGUGAGGGUGACCUCAAAGCUGCUCACCUGUCAGCAGACUACUGCCCACUCCUUGGAGGCUUCAUUCCUUGUGACCUGCAUGGCAUGAUCACCCCUACAGUUGGAAAAUCAGCUCAUGGAGUGUGUCAGACAGCGAGGCAGCACAUCGGCUGGCGAAGGAGGGGCCCGCUGAGGGUGGCCCGGUCCUGUGAGUCGCACAACCACCUGCACUUUCUGCUUUGUUACAGUGCCAGGAACCAGACUGCAGGCCUGAGGAUGGGCCCUUGGCAUGUUGUGUCCGUCCUUCCUGCUCUCCCUAGUUCCUGAACUUAAUUCCUUGAGUUCAAAAGACAGACGACAGCCAGAGGCAGUAUUUACAGCGGAUCUGCGGCUGCUUCUGGGAAGAGAAUUAUCGCUCUCCCUCACCUCUGCCCACCAGGACGCUCUUCAUCCCUGGCCUCAGAGCAGGUGCUAUCUAAAAUGUACAUGUUUCUUUUAGUAAAUCUCUGCUUAACAAAA
rnacentral:lncRNA from 1 species